CAGUUUUAUUUUUUUCUCCUUUUCAUUUCUUCCUUUUUAUAAAUUUUUAUUUUAUUUAUAUUUUGGUUUUAUUUUUUCUUUUGUCUAGUUAUAGAUGUUUAGUUUUUUCUUCUUCAAAUUAUGGGUGUUUAGCGUGAAUGCAUUUCAGUGGUGUUUUAUCGGUGCAAUGAGGGGUGAAGGUGGCAGUUGCAUGUCUGUCAUUAGGUAUCUACAAGUGCCCUAACUACAACUCAAUGGUGUUUUGUUAGGGGGAGGAGGGUAGUUGCAUGUCUGUCAUUAGGUAUCUACAAGUGCCCUAACUACAACUCAAUGGUGUUUUGUUAGGGGGAGGAGGGUAGUUGCAUGUCUGUCACU
rnacentral:lncRNA from 1 species